AAGUCGUAACAAGGUUUCCGUAGGUGAACCUGCGGAAGGAUCAUUACAAAUGUCCAAAUCCACCCUGAAAACCGUACUUAACCACUUGGCGUCAAUUGCGACGUCAGCCUAGUUUACGCCUAGCCUAGUACUGAUCACAAAAAGUUAAAUCUAAACAACUUUUAGCAACGGAUCUCUAGGCUCUC
rnacentral:misc_RNA from 1 species